AGGACCGUGGUAGACCACCACGUCGAUAGGCCGGAGAUGUAAGCGCAGCAAUGCGUUCAGUUGACCGGUACUAAUUGUCCGAUAGGCUUGAUUUGAUCCAG
rnacentral:rRNA from 1 species